AGCGAACGCUCGCGGCAGGCCUAACACACGCAAGUCGAACGAAGUCUUCGGACUUAGUGGCGGACGGGUGAGUAACACGUGGGAACGUGCCCUUAGGGUCGGAAUAACUCAGGGCAACUUGGGCUAAUACCGAAUGUGCCCUUCGGGGGCAAGAUUUAUCGCCUUUAGAGCGGUCCGCGUCUCAUCAGCUAGUUGGUGCGGUCAAGGCUCACCAAGGCGUCGAUCAGUAGCUGGUCUGAGAGGAUGAUCAGGCACAUUGGGACUGAGACACGGCGCAAACUCCUACGGGAGGCAGCAGUGGGGAAUCUUGCGCAAUGGGCGACAGCCUGACGCAGCCAUGCCGCGUGAAUGAAGAAGGUCUUAGGAUUGUAAAAUUCUUUCACCAGGGACGAUAAUGACGGUACCCGGAGAAGAAGCCCCGGCUAACUUCGUGCCAGCCGCCGCGGUAAGAC
rnacentral:rRNA from 1 species